CGCGGAGCACGGGAACAAGGCAUCGAUCGCUCGGCAUCACUUAAACUGGAAAAGACGCCGAGGUCAUCGAGUCUAAUCUGUGACCGAACACCAUGUCAACUAGACCAUGGCACUACGUCCAGUCCUUCGUUAAACACCUCCAAGAACGGUGACUCUACUACUACUCUGGGCAGCCCCAUUCCAAACUUUAAUCACCCCUUCUGUGAAAGCGUUCCUCCUGAUGCCCUCCCCUGGCACAGCUUGAGGCCAUUUCCUCUUGUCGUGUCCCUGGCUGCCUGGAAGAAGUGACCGACCCCGACCGACCUCGACCUUCCUUCAGACAGUUGUGGAGAGUGGAUGCAGGAGUGCAGAAAAAUCCAAGCAGUUCUUGCCUGCACUCUCCCCAGAGCCACAAAAAGCUGAAAGCUCCUCCAAUCCCAGAUCACAGAGCGAGAAGCCUCUCUACUCCCCUGUCACAGAGACUUUUCUGGGACAGCUUUUCUGGCUCUCCCGGUACCUGUGGCCCUCGACAAAGGCCUUUGUCCCUCACCUGUGAACAUCUUCACAAAGUCAGCACUCGACAUGCUCAUGACCACAUCAGCUGUCACGGGAGCCUUUCCGAAGCCAGCGCUCCCACCCUUGGUCUUCAGGUCAAUAUACCAAGUGCCUCCACCGUCGCCUGGACAGAGAGCGAAGCGCGGUGAGAAGGCAGCAAGCACUGCCGCGCCCUCCCUCUCUGUCGCCCCGCCAGACGCCCGCGGCCUCGUGCGUUUGCAGCGGCUCCGUGGCAGCCCGCACGCUGGCGGGGCUCUGCAAGGAGUCACCUCUCGUCCCCCGUGACGCCCCAAGCGCCGCGGGCUGGGGCCGCGGGCAGGAGAGCCCAGAGGCCGCGCUCUGCUCCAGAGCCGUUGGCAGCUGGCGCUUCUGCCGUGGCCCCGAGAGCGCCCCGAGCGCGGCCACAGCAGCGCCGGGACAGAGGGACAGCAGCGCCCGGGGCUGCUCCAGCGGGCCUGCGGCACCAGCGUCACAGGAACUGAACAGGAGCCCGCCUGCUUCGGGACCAGCUUCAAAGCGUUUCUGUCUGAAAACACCGGGGCCUUUGCCAGGCAAGGCUGCACAAGCGGUGGGCUUACCAGAGAGCUCAAACUGAAAGACACCCUGAGUACUUCUCACGUACUCCUCAGUCACUGCCCCUUGAAUAACUCGGAACGUCUCUGCAACAGGACCCGAUGGCAUGGCUGCAGCAGAUUCUGUCUUUGCCUUGGCCGCAUCUGCUCCUUCCUGCUGGGAUCUGCUUAAUUUCUUCUCCUCUUUGGCAGCACCUAUGAGAAAGAUUACUUUUCUCUUUCAAAUGCAAACCACUUUAAAAGUGUAUGUAGAACCAAAAGCAGAGAACUCCAUUUGAAAGAAUUUAAGCUUCAAAGUAGGGAAAGUGGUUCUUUUACUAUUUCAGUAUUAACACUGAUAAAGGAUAAUUUCUCCACCAGGAAUCUGAAUAGUUGUACAUCGCUAAAUGUAAUUCUGUGAUAAAUUUUGAUUCCUGACAGAGCAAAAGAAAAGCAAAAUAAAACCACAGCAAAAUUCUAAUUUUGACUGCUUACAAGUCAUUAUGGCCAUUCACACAACAGUUUUCUAAUGUAAUCCAUACACAACUACACAACAUUAAAAAUAAAAAAUCAUUGUCUUUAA